ensembl:lncRNA
AUGUUGGGGUUUUGCAAAAGUCCUGUUCUGAUGAGUCUCCAGAUGAGAGAACCAAAAAUCCCAGCUUCCCACCGAACACUGAGGGGCGUGUCUUCUGCGCCAGGCCUUUCCUGUUUUUCUUUCUCUCUUGUUAAUGCUUUAAAAACAAAUGAGUUUUUAUACAAAUAAAGUUUUUAAAGUGUGUAUGUGGGGGGUCUGUGUCAUUUCUUCACUUUAAGCUUGUAUCUCUUCUCUCCUUUUCAUCUCGAUUACUUCAUUAUAUAUCAGUGUCCUUUUUCUCUCCAGAGCACCCAGAAGGGGAUUGUACCAGCAUGGAUUAAUUUUGAGCCCAAUGCCAGCUCUUAACAAGGAACAUUCUUUUAAUUAUAUAUGAAACACUUUUCCUCCGAAGAUUCUUAAAAAUCAAAUGUAGAGCAUGGGAAGCUUAUUGCUUAACUUAGAUAGGAAACUGAAGUAUAAAGAAUUAAUAAAUUUCUUAGUCACUGGGAUUCUUUUGUGACAUCUGUCAAAACUAACGUUGAGUAGAGCUCUGCAAUACAUGACCCUCUUGAACAUAUUUAUGAGUAGAUUAGAAGCUACCAACUCCAGCUGUCAUCCUAAUAAGUACGGAAAUGAAGAAUAAAAAGACUCACUGGGCCAUGAGGUUGCUUCUCAGGCUGUCUGCCAUCCUUUAGUAAGACGGUAAGGGGCAGGCCCAUCGCUUCCUCCGUGUCCUACCAAGUAGCAUGGGUGGGUAGCAAGUACUCAGAUUACCAGGGGUUGUCUACAAUGUAGAGGCCAAGGAUUAAGACCUCUGAAAAGGGGCCUUGUUAGCUUGUUAAGACGAGAACGGAUGUAAAACGCUUCUUGUAUGCCUAGUCUUUAGAUUAAAGAUGUAUAGCUAUUGCUGGUGAUGCUCACAUCUCAAUUUUGUUGAACUAGGUCUCCGGUAUGAAAACUUUCUUGGACUAGUAAGACCAGGACAUCUUAGCAUUGUAGCUGAUACCUUUCAAAGCUUGAUUUGUGUCCGGCAGUUGUAGUUUUAGAAAGGUGAAGCGCAGAGCCGGAAAGCUCUUAGAGUUUGCUUUAUAGAGAGAUUCGGUAGCCCUGCUUGAGUGUCUUUUUUAAAUGUAGAAAAUGCUGGCUAUUGGUGAAUAGCCUUCAUUUCUGUUAAAUUUAUUAUCCGCUGGCAUUGAGCUACACACAAACGUUACUCUCCUCUCCCUGGAUUGGUCCAUUGUUUUAUCUCAUUCAAUAAAUAUUUCCUCAGCAUCUUCCAGGUAUCAGGCAUUGUUGUGUACAUGAGGUUUAGAUGAGAGAAUGAAACGGAUGGACCCUUUCUCAUAUCGAUAGCAAUGUGCUCUUUUUAAAACAUUCCUCCGCCCUUAACUAAAACAAGGUGUUAAAAAGAAGGAUCUACAGAGUCCAUAUAUCUUGUUUCUUGGUACUGAUUUAGUAACACUUUUGAAGCCUCUUGGUGUCUCUCAACACCAGCUUUAGGAAUCCUGUGUAUUUUGUCAAGAUUUGCCAACUUAUUCCCUGAUCUUUACAGCCUGAGUUUUUAUUCCCCACUCCCAGCAGAGGUGGUAAUAGGUUAUGCCCAGCCACUCUUCUGCCUCAGUGAUGCUUUUUUUGUGAGCAUGUUUGUGAAGUAGCUGCAGUGAGUCUCACUGUGACAUACUGUGUGACUGAGCUCAGAGCUGUGACCUCACUUAGCCACUGGUUUCUUCCUGAACUAAUGCGCUUUGUUACAAAUUAGAAAUAGCUCACCCAGGAAGAGCUGCUGCUGCUAAGUCGCUUCAGUCGUGUCCGACUCUGUGCGACCCCAUAGACGGCAGCCCACCAGGCUCCCCUGUCCCUGGGAUUUUCCAGGCAAGAGUACUGGAGUGGGGUGCCAUUGCCUUCUCUGCCAGGAAGAGCUAAGAACCAGUUAUUCUAGACCAUCUAGACCAUUAUUUUUCACUGUUUAUUUCUGAAGUACUGGAUAGUAAAGAUUCAUCUUGGUAUUUUCAUAGAUAGUUGUAGACCACCUACAGGUAGUCUUACAGAUUGGAGCAAGUACACAGGAAUUACCUGGGAAGCUUGUUAAAAAUGCAGAUUUCCAUGCUGCUUUUCCAAAAAUUGCUUCAAUAGGUGGGACUCAGGAAUCCUGAAAUCUUAAGUAACCUAGGUUAUUCAAAUACCUGUGGUGAGUUAAUUGCAACUUGAGACACUGAUCUGAAGACUUGCUUAAGAUUUCAGCCUCAGGCUAUAAUAGAAUCCAGGAUGACUGGCUUCAGCACCACUGGCAGUAAUACUAGUUUCAUGGUGGGUGUGGUGACAGCCACAGAAAAAAAGAGUUCAUUGAGGAAACAACGUUUGUCUCAAAGGUAUGAAUUGACUGUAGAAUUUAAGAUACUGGUGACAGGCAUGUAGGUAGGAGAAACGUCUUUUGCAAAAUCAUGCCAUCUCUGUGGAUGGGAGAUGAACUUCUCCCUUGAUAUGGAGCCCUCCAGAGCAGUAGAGAAUUCCCUAACAAAUUUUAACAAAAAUGUCAUUUUUGGCUACAAAUAGAGUAUCCCAACUGGGGAGCAAGUGGCCCCAUUGACCAAAACCAGGGAGAUGUGUCUGGAAAUUUAGAUCACUUCUAAGGACAACCUAUCCAAAGAAAAUCACUCCCAAGGACAACCUAUCUAAAGAAAACAGAAAAAACAUUGUAGGAGCAAAGUGUUUUUGGGUGCACCACGUGACUCUCAGAAUCUUAGUUCCGCAGAGAAUUUAACCCAGUCAGUGACGGUGAAAGACUGGACUCCUGACCUCUAGAAACGAUCAGGGCCCACUACCCACGAGUGGGUUGAGUCAAGAGCCUUGUGCGUGUCAGUGCAGUUGCGGGAGCCACCAAUAGUGUGAGCAUGUGGCAACUAGCUACUUAGCUGAGGCAAAAUGCCAUGCUUCUCACCGUGUAUGUUUCUGUCUUUAUUGUUUGAAAAGACAGCUUCUUCCAGUUUUAUUUAGGAUACAGAAGGGUUACUAUCUUGCUGUCUCUCCCCAGGUAUUUCUAGUGUUAAUGGACAGUAGCUUGAAUGCCAUAGGCAUUUGUGCCCGAGAAAGAGAAAUACGAGGUGUUCACGGUAACGUGCUGGGCACCUCACUGCUCUAGUCUCCUUCCUUUGCUCCAUCGUUAAGGCGAAGUUAGCACUGGCCUUUUACAGACUCAAGGGUCAGGAGAAUGUAGUGUGUAUGCUGCUAAGUCACUUCAGUCUCGUCUAACUCUGUGCGACCCCAUAGACGGCAGCCCACCAGGCCCGCCCCUGGGAUUCUCCAGGCAAGAACACUGGAAUGGGUUUCCAUUUCCUUCUCCAAUGCAUGAAACUGAAAAGUGAAAGUGAAGUCGCUCAGUUGUGUCCGACUCUUAGCGACCCCAUGGACUGCAGCCCACCAGGCUCCUCUGUCCAUGGGAUUUUCCAA